UCCUGGACUAGCAGUUGCAUCCUCACGUGCAAAACCAUUAGCAGCUUGGAUGAAUGGCUUGGAAGUCUGUUCGAUUGAAGCUGAUGUGGACAAGGCUUCGUUAAUUUUGUCGGUGGGUAUCUCUACCCGCUACAUUUAUGCGACUUACAAGAAAAAAUCCUGUAUCCACAAGCGAAGCUGAAGCUUGGGAAGCAGCAAAGAAAGCCUGUGGAGGUUUGCACUUCCUUGCUAUUCAAAAUGACCUGAAUUCGGAUGAUUGUGUUGGAUUCUGGCUUCUGUUAGACCUGCCACCUCCUCCUGUAUAACUUGAUAAAUAGAAUACAAGGUUUUCCUUUGUACAUUCUCUUUUAUUUGCUCAUUUACAGAAUGCAGAGAGGCAUCAUAGCAAUUAGAUUGUAAUU